rnacentral:rRNA from 1 species
CUGUAAGCCUGUGAAGGUGUACUGUGAGGUAUGCUGGAGGUAUCAGAAGUGCGAAUGCUGACAUAAGUAACGAUAAAGCGGGUGAAAAGCCCGCUCGCCGGAAGACCAAGGGUUCCUGUCCAACGUUAAUCGGGGCAGGGUGAGUCGACCCCUAAGGCGAGGCCGAAAGGCGUAGUCGAUGGGAAACAGGUUAAUAUUCCUGUACUUGGUGUUACUGCGAAGGGGGGACGGAGAAGGCUAUGUUGGCCGGGCGACGGUUGUCCCGGUUUAAGCGUGUAGGCUGGUUUUCCAGGCAAAUCCGGAAAAUCAAGGCUG